rnacentral:tRNA from 1 species
GUCAGAAUGGCCGAGCGGUCUAAGGCGCCAGAUUCAAGUUCUGGUCCUCUCUAAGGGCGUGGGUUCGAAUCCCACUUCUGACA